AGUGAACGCUGGCGAUAGGCCUAACACAUGCAAGUCGAACGGCAGCACAGUAAGAGCUUGCUCUUACGGGUGGCGAGUGGCGGACGGGUGAGGAAUACAUCGGAAUCUACUUUUUCGUGGGGGAUAACGUAGGGAAACUUACGCUAAUACCGCAUACGACCUACGGGUGAAAGUAGGGGAUCUUCGGACCUUGCGCGAUUGAAUGAGCCGAUGUCGGAUUAGCUAGUUGGCGGGGUAAAGGCCCACCAAGGCGACGAUCCGUAGCUGGUCUGAGAGGAUGAUCAGCCACACUGGAACUGAGACACGGUCCAGACUCCUACGGGAGGCAGCAGUGGGGAAUAUUGGACAAUGGGCGCAAGCCUGAUCCAGCCAUACCGCGUGGGUGAAGAAGGCCUUCGGGUUGUAAAGCCCUUUUGUUGGGAAAGAAAAGCAGCAGGUUAAUACCCCGCUGUUCUGACGGUACCCAAAGAAUAAGCACCGGCUAACUUCGUG
rnacentral:rRNA from 1 species